CCAAGAUUGAAAAUCUCUCUGAGGUGCUUGGUUGAAGGCUUCAACCAAGAACAUCCAGCAUCCAGAUAAAAAUAGAUAAGGAGAGACCAAAUGACCUCUUGAAGCAUGAAUUUAAGAAUGCUAUUCACUGCUACAACCUAUCAUUUGCUUUCCAUUUUCAUAAGAUUUUUCUGUAUUCAGACUCCAACUACCUAAAGGGUUUCUAUUCACUCCUCCAAAGUUUUCUCUAUAUAAUUGAAAUUAUUGCUGAGAAAAGCCAUGAUCAGACCACUCAUAUUGAUACUGACAAUCCCCCCAAAAGAAAAAGGCUGUGUUUAGCCCAGUGGACUCUAAACAGUGGCUCUCAAAGUGUGGUACCUGGACCAGAGCAUGAGCAUCACUUGGGAACUUGUUUGAAAUGAAUAUCGUCGACCCUCCAAAUGGGAAACUCUGGGAGUGGGCCCAAGCGAACCAGUCAUCUGUGUUUUAGCAAGUCCUCCAGGUGUCUGAUACACACUCGAGUUUGAGACUCUCUGCUCUAAACCAUCUCUUCUUGCGGGACCAGUGGCAAGUACCAUGACUGAGGAGAUGUUACAGACACACGAUGGCUCUAUCUAUCUCCACUGGAUAGUUUGAGCUACCUUAGACUCAUCCUACCUUGGGCUCCACAGAACAACUCUUAAAGCCAAGCAGCAGACCUAAGAAGUAAUCUGUCUUCCACGUCAGAACGUAGUCAGAUUGAAGUGUAGGACAUAGAGAUGAUGAGAAGUCUUCUUGGUGUGCAUCAUCUUUGAUUCAUCCAAGAACAUUUGAGUAGCAGUAACUGGUUAGACAAACGUAAGGAGAGUAGACAUUCACCUCUGUGGGGAGAAAAAGGAAUGUGACCUAUGCUCCUGGAAAAGGUUGAUCCUUCCAAUCUAUUUGGUAACAAGAGAAACUGCUGGAGAAACCCUUUGUCAUCAAGUAGAUAAAGGAUCUUCCCAGUAACAUUAUAAGGUAUUCUAAACACAGGCUAGAAUACCCAGUUUACAGAUGAGGAGAAUAAUGACAGAGCUGAGACAAGGCCUCUACCCUAGCGUUUGAACUCUGACCCAUGGUGCCCCAGAUGUAUUCUAGUUGCUGCUCCUGCUCCUGCCUUCGAAAGCUCCAAUCUGCAGAGCUGUUUGUAAAUUAAAACAGAAGGCCAAAUUAAAAUGGAGAGAAAGCAAGCCAGGUCUGACAGUAAUAUUAAUCCCUUUGAAAUCGCUGGUCUUUUCAAUUAACAGCCUCUUUCUAAGAUGUUUAUUGCUGCUGGCUUGAACUGAGGUCAUUAAAAUGCUCAUGAUCAGGUUCUCAAAAAGCCUGCUUAAAUACUCUCUACCAGGGUUUGGGUACCACUUCUGCUUUGCAUAGAUCCAGAGAGAAAGA
rnacentral:lncRNA from 1 species